UACGUAGGUGGCUAGCGUUGUCCGGAUUUACUGGGCGUAAAGAGCGCGCAGGCGGUCGUUCAAGUCGAGUGUGAAAGCCCCCGGCUCAACUGGGGAGGGUCACUCGAUACUGAUCGACUUGAAGGCGGGAGAGGGAAGCGGAAUUCCCGGUGUAGUGGUGAAAUGCGUAGAUAUCGUAAGGAAGACCAAGUGGCGAAGGCG
rnacentral:rRNA from 1 species